AUGGAAGCGGCAACUACCAAGUGUCAUCGCUGGACCCCGUGGGCGGUCAGUAUUUGGCCAGAAGCUCCUGUUGCUUUCUGCAUUAUUACCUUUUUGUUGGCUAGAAGACCAGAUCAGGCACCAAGGAAUCAAGUAGUGCUGGAGGGUAUAAGAUCAAACCUUUCUCAUGUGCAUCGGGGAGAGAGAGACCAGCAUACAGCUGCCAGAAAGAAUGGAAGGAAAUGUUUGAUGGUAUAAUUUUUAAUAAUAGCAGGACAGCAAUAUUUUCCAGGGAUACAUUACCUGAGGGUAACCAUCCCUGGACAGUGCAAACAUAUUCCUUUAUUCUGUACUGUGUGUUUCUCUGGGUAGAUAGCCACAUAUUGUUCUUCUACUUUCUGUUCUUAGCCUUAAAACACUUUAUUUUAUUGUGUUUAAGCAAUAAUUAAAAAGAAAAGGUUACUGAUAUGCUUAGGACUGGCAAUGAAGAUGAGCACUUUUCUUGGAAAAGUACAGCAGCUGAAGAAAUCUAAUCUCAGGAACUAGGGUGUGAUUUGGGGAGCUUUACAAAAACAGCAAGGAUCUGAAUAUGCUGCAGGUGUUUCAAAUCAUAAACUGUGUGAUAACACCACUUCCCAGCACUUUCAGAGCCUUUUAAUAAUGGCUCAAAAUAAAGCAGUGCUCUGUGCUCACAAUUAAAAUUGGUUCUAAGAGAGAGAUUAAAAUGUCUAACCAGCACCUAUUCUUUGUGACAAAGGGAAAAGAAGAGGCCUCAUAAACAGAGAUGAAGGGCUUCUUACCUAGUUGAUGUAAGGACAACAAUUUUGCAACCAUUACUUCCCCUGACCGGGGGUACUCUUGGACGUCAGGAGGCCCCAGUAACUUGCUAUGUAAGUCCCACUGCAUUGUUAUAGGGCACUCUUCUCGCACAUGCAGUGAAGGCAGUCUCCGUAAAUCUUUUCAUCCACCAGUAGUCAUUCUGAUAAACCCUAAUCCUGCACUGUGACCACUAGAGUAUCAGAAAUCAAUAGCAGAGACAUCAAGAGUCCAUAGCCCAGGAGUUAAAAAUUUACAUACAGACACACUAUUCAGCAGGUAAUGGAAGAAUAAGGUACCAGUGUAAUUAAAGAAAGGAGACUGUUGCUGAUGGAAGACAUCUUUGGUAACUUAAUUAAGUCUAAGUUAGCUUAAGUUCUUGGUGGGACCUACAAGGAGAGACUUUCCUAUGUUCAAUACAGAAGAAGCCAUUUUAGUCCAUUAUUUUAGCACUAAGGUAAUCCUUAUAUUGCUAAGACAAGUGCAUAUGCCUGUUAUUUACUGUUGAGCUGGCUUAAGUAUUUCUGGAAAACACUAGCUCAUCUCUUGCAUCCUUCCUGCUGUUCUGUUUCCUGCAAGAAGUGUUUACUCUAAAGAGUAAGCUGUUGAGGUCCCCAUGUUUUACUAUGCAGGUGGUUAUAUUAAGCUUUUUGCCCCCAAAGGUAGCUAGGGUUUAAAAAUCUUCUUCACUUAAUGUAUCUAAAACUUAGAAGUUGAAGGUCUAAAAGAUUGAUUUACCCUUUUUAAAAGAAGACUUUAUUAUGAUAUAUGGGCCAAUUUGUUCUUUUCAUAUCUAUUAAUUCCAAAUCUUUACAGACACAGACAGAAUUCAAGAUAUUGGUUACAUCAAGUUACAUUUUAAAAAAAUACUUUUAAAAAAAUACUCAGCAUGCCAAAACACUUCUUAUUAAAAUAAAAGCUGAAACCUUAAAAUAUGAUCCCAAGCCCGAUGUAUGAUCUGAUAGAGAAUAGGGCUUCUUUUGGGCUCUUUGUACCACCAAUUUGUGUUAAAUAUAUAAUAAGAAAAGGGAAACAUCAUUAUUAUGUUCUGCUUGCGAGGUAUUAUUGCCUUCACCUGAAAUGCCUUGUCCUGUGGCUUCUUGGUAAGCCUGC